GCAUGGAGUGAUUUCAUGAGAAACCUUUUCUCAUGUAAUAAAUGGGGCAUAAAAAAAGGGAUAAGGUGCAAAGAUUGAUUGCCCAUUCAAAUUCAAACUUUAUUUUGAAUUUGAAUGGCCAACCAAUCAUCCUUAUCCAUUCAUAUGGCACAUUAAAGUGGGGUGUGGAGGAGGCUUGGCGUGAGAAAAAAAUUCAUGAGAAGUUCCUUCUCAUGAAUUCAAAUGGGUGCAAUGGAAGUGAGGUGGUGCAUGGAGAUUGGGUCAAGGUGGUUUAAUUAUUUAAACCAACCUAAUUGAACCAAAUAAGUUAGGUCCAAUUAGACUAAUUUAAAUCCAACUAAAUUAAGCUUAAUUAGGC
rnacentral:lncRNA from 1 species